rnacentral:rRNA from 1 species
GAGAGUUAAACAGUACGUGAAAUUGUUGAAAGGGAAACGAUUGAAGUCAGUCAUACCAACGGGAAAUCAACCUCUUGAGUUUGGUCUCGUGGGUUUCGAAGAGUUUAAAAGCCUUCGGAUUUUCGAGAUUGGGCUCUUCUGGUGUACUUUCUCGUACGGUUAGUCAACAUCGGUUUUGAAUGUCAUAAAAUGACUGGAGGAAUGUGGCUUCGAUCUCGUAUUGAAGUGUUAUAACCUUUGGUAGAUGUGAUGUUUGAGACCGAGGAUUGCAACGGAUACCCUUCUGGGCUAUUCGUCUGAUCUCUGAAACGUUGCCUUGAUGUCGAAAGCUUGCUUAUGAUGCUAGGUAAUACGGUCAAAAGGUUAGAACGGAUUAAAUUCGUUAAGGAUGUUGACGUAAUGACUUUAAACGA